rnacentral:rRNA from 1 species
AUUGAACGCUGGCGGCAGGCUUAACCCAUGCAAGUCGAGCGAGCGGCGGACGGGUGAGUAAUGCCUGGGAAACUGCCUGAUGGCGGGGGGUAACUACUGGAAACGGUAGCUCAUACCGCAUACCAUCAGAUGUGCCCAGAUGGGAUUAGCUAGUAGGUGGGGUAAUGGCUUACCUAGGCGACGAUCCCUAACUGGUCUGAGAGGAUGACCAGCAGACCUGGAACUGAGACACGGCCCAGACGCCUACGGGAGACAGCAGUGGAGAAUAUUUGACAAUGGGCGAAAGCCGGAUGCAGCCAUGCCGCGUGUGUGAAGAAGGCCUUCGGGUUGUAAAGCACUUUCAGCGAGGAGGCGUUACUCGCAGAAGAAGCACCGGCUAACUCCGUGCCAGCAGCCGCGGUAAUUC